rnacentral:rRNA from 1 species
GUCCACGCUGUAAACGAUGGAUGCUAGCCGUUGGCGGGUUUACUCGUCAGUGGCGCAGCUAACGCUUUAAGCAUCCCGCCUGGGGAGUACGGUCGCAAGAUUAAAACUCAAAGGAAUUGACGGGGCCCGCACAAGCGGUGGAGCAUGUGGUUCAAUUCGACGCAACGCGAAGAACCUUACCAGCCCCUUGACAUGUCCCGUUUGGGUUUCAGAGAUGAGACCCUUCAGUUCGGCUGGCGGGAACACAGGUGCUGCAUGGCUGUCGU